UUUGGAGUAUCUGAGUUGGCCAGAACAGAGGUUGUUAAGAAACUCUGGGUUUAUAUUAAGGACAAUCAAUUGCAAGAUCCAAAGAAUAAGCGAAAUAUAUUAUGUGAUGAAUCUUUACAUGCUCUUUUUCGUGUUAGUUCUAUCAACAUGUUUCAAAUGAGUAAAGCUCUCUCCGAACACAUAUGGCCGUUAGACAAGGAAGAUGCUCCUGUAGACUCUACUCAGAAGGAAAAGCGGCGCAAGCAAGAGGCAGAAGGUACAGAUGAACCACAUCGGAAAGAAAAACGACAGAAGAAAGGAGGAUCAAAAUGAUAGGAGGAAAGAGUUGUGUGUCAUGAUAAGCUAAAGGAACUUUCUGAGGUUGACUCUCUCUGGUGCUUCUCAGGCUCAAUGCUUCUGACUACUGAAUUUUUUUCAAGAUAGGAGAGUGAGUUGAUUGUUUGUAUAUAAUAUGAGCCCAGUAGAAGUGGGCAAUUUUUGCUCAAGUUCUAAUUCUCCUUUUACGCUGGUAAGUUGUAUCCAUCUAACAUUUCAAACAAAUUGAAGCAAAUAUCUUCAGUUAAGUUGUUUCACCGUUCCCCAUAGCAUCAUGUAUUUACUUCUUUUAACUUUCUACACCUUAUUUGUAUGUGGAGAUGAUGGCCAUUAGAAUGUGGAAAGAUCAUAAGACAUGGCCAUCUGGAAAGCAAAUUUGUUAUACCUUGUAGUCUUGCAGGGACUACAAGGUUAAUAAAACUUUGAUAGGUACUAUAUGAAUUCUGCUUUUGAAAUUGUUUUUUUAGGGCAUUCUCGAUGUACUAUGUGCAGUCCAACUGAUGGGCUUUAAAGCAUUUGUCAGAACUAAAGAUAACACAUCAUUCUGGGCCA